GUCAAGUGCUCCUCUUCUGCGAAGGCCCACCCUCCAGUAUCUGCCACCAUGUCUGGGGGAGGGAGGAGUGGUAACCGUUGAUGUCAAUCCUCCUACAUCAUACAAAACAGUAUGAGGCAUUCAGAUGUUGUUUCUCCACAGCCCUUGUAUUGUAUAUGAUCUUCCUCAUGUUGGUGAUCAUGGUAACACUUCUCAUAAGUGUGGUCUUGGCAAUUUGUCCCCAACACCUUGGGAUGUUUAAAAAGAAAACAAAUCACAGGAAGAAAAGAAAGCAAGAAAAGGAUCAGCAAGAAAGAGAACCUGCAGAAGUAAGGAUGCAUUGCCCCAGAAAACCUUGUCAUUGGACUUUGAAAAUAUUCUCAUUGGUUCUCCACAGUACAACAAAAACUGAGAAAUCCCCUUAAUUCAGCCAGAACUUUUUUGAGCUUCCAGUACUUCAAAGCACUUUAGAACUGCUUGUGUAAAUAUAUAGAGUUACACACACAGAGAGAGGACUAUUUAACAUUUCCCAGUAAAACACCACAUAUCUUUAGGCCAGGAAGGGAAGAAUUUCACAUGCAAUUGAAAAGCUGAGAAUUUCUGGAAGCAAAAUGUAAUGAAAGAAGAUGGGCUGUAGCCAGGAUGGAGGGAUCAUCUCUGCUGCUUUUCUAGUGGCACUCAUU